GGCGACGACGGGUAGCCGACCUGAGAGGGUGACCGGCCACACUGGGACUGAGACACGGCCCAGACUCCUACGGGAGGCAGCAGUGGGGAAUAUUGCACAAUGGGCGAAAGCCUGAUGCAGCGACGCCGCGUGAGGGAUGACGGCCUUCGGGUUGUAAACCUCUUUCAGCAGGGACGAAGCGCAAGUGACGGUACCUGCAGAAGAAGCACCGGCUAACUACGUGCCAGCAGCCGCGGUAAUACGUAGGGUGCAAGCGUUGUCCGGAAUUACUGGGCGUAAAGAGUUCGUAGGCGGUUUGUCGCGUCGUUUGUGAAAACCAGCAGCUCAACUGCUGGCUUGCAGGCGAUACGGGCAGACUUGAGUACUGCAGGGGAGACUGGAAUUCCUGGUGUAGCGGUGAAAUGCGCAGAUAUCAGGAGGAACACCGGUGGCGAAGGCGGGUCUCUGGGCAGUAACUGACGCUGAGGAACGAAAGCGUGGGUAGCGAACAGGAUUAGAUACCCUGGUAGUCCACGCCGUAAACGGUGGGCGCUAGGUGUGGGUUCCUUCCACGGAAUCCGUGCCGUAGCUAACGCAUUAAGCGCCCCGCCGGGG
rnacentral:rRNA from 1 species